AGUGAACGCUGGCGGUAGGCCUAACACAUGCAAGUCGAACGGCAGCACAGUAAGAGCUUGCUCUUACGGGUGGCGAGUGGCGGACGGGUGAGGAAUACAUCGGAAUCUACUUUUUCGUGGGGGAUAACGUAGGGAAACUUACGCUAAUACCGCAUACUACCUACGGGUGAAGGCAGGGGAUCUUCGGACCUUUCGCGAUUGAAUGAGCCGAUGUCGGGUUAGCUAGUUGGCGGGGUAAAGGCCCACCAAGGCGACGAUCCGUAGCUGGUCUGCGAGGAUGAUCAGCAAAACAGGAAAUGAGAAACGGUCAAGAAUCCUACGGGAGGCAGCAGUGGGGAAUAUUGGAAAAUGGGCGAAAGACUGAUCCAGAAAUACCGCGUGGGUGAAGAAGGCCUUCGGGUUGUAAAGCCCUUUUGUUGGGAAAGAAAAGCGGCAGGUUAAUACCCCGCUGUUCUGACGGUACCCAAAGAAUAAGCACCGGCUAACUUCGU
rnacentral:rRNA from 1 species